rnacentral:ncRNA from 1 species
AGAAUUGCAUAAACGAAACCUCAUAUAAGACGGGAAUAGGGCCCGUUCGUCUCUACCUGGGAACCGUAAAUUCCCGGACUAUGAGGGGAGAUUCAAGCAUC